rnacentral:rRNA from 1 species
GAUGAACGCUGGCGGCGUGCCUAAUACAUGCAAGUCGAACGCAUUGUGGUUGAAAUGAUAUGAAGAACUUGUUCAGAUUUGAUUUUCAACAUUGCAAUGAGUGGCGAACGGGUGAGUAACACGUGGGAAACCUACCUCUUAGCAGGGGAUAACAUUUGGAAACAAAUGCUAAUACCGUAUAAUAAUUAAAACCGCAUGGUUUUAGUUUAAAAGAUGGUCUUGCUAUCACUAAGAGAUGGUCCCGCGGUGUAUUAGUUAGUUGGUGAGGUAAUGGCUAACCAAGACAAUGAUACAUAGCCGAGUUGAGAGACUGACGGCCACAAUGGGACGUGAGAC